GGAGGCAGCAGUGGGGAAUAUUGCACAAUGGGGGAAACCCUGAUGCAGCCAUGCCGCGUGUGUGAAGAAGGCCUUCGGGUUGUAAAGCACUUUCAGUCGUGAGGAAGGCAUAUGCGUUAAUAGCGUAUGUGUUUGACGUUAGCGACAGAAGAAGCACCGGCUAACUCCGUGCCAGCAGCCGCGGUAAUACGGAGGGUGCGAGCGUUAAUCGGAAUUACUGGGCGUAAAGCGCAUGCAGGCGGCUUGUUAAGCCAGAUGUGAAAGCCCGGGGCUCAACCUCGGAAUAGCAUUUGGAACUGGCAGGCUAGAGUCUUGUAGAGGGGGGUAGAAUUUCAGGUGUAGCGGUGAAAUGCGUAGAGAUCUGAAGGAAUACCGGUGGCGAAGGCGGCCCCCUGGACAAAGACUGACGCUCAGAUGCGAAAGCGUGGGGAGCAAACAGGAUUAGAUACCCUGGUAGUCCACGCCGUAAACGAUGUCUACUUGGAGGUUGGUGUCUUGAACACUGGCUUUCGGAGCUAACGCGUUAAGUAGACCGCCUGGGGAGUACGGUCGCAAGAUUAAAACUCAAAUGAAUUGACGGGGGCCCGCACAAGCGGUGGAGCAUGUGGUUUAAUUCGAUGCAACGCGAAGAACCUUACCUACUCUUGACAUCCAGAGAACUUCCAGAGAUGGAU
rnacentral:rRNA from 1 species